rnacentral:lncRNA from 1 species
GGGGACCUCAUGUCAAAAAAUGUACAAAUAGGAUGGCCAGACCAAUGUUCAGUAAGAUGACCAUGCAGAUCACAAUUGUGUUAGGUCCCUCAUCACCCUCCUCUGCGUCCUGCGCUGCUGCCACCGCCACCGCCGGGGCCGGGCUCCGCUUGGCCCCCGCCUUGUGCUCCGUCCGGCCUGGCGCCCGGCCCUCAGUCUUUCUGUCAGCAGCGGGCUCGCUCCUGCUCACUGCCUUGUGCUCGGGGCUGGGCCGCUGCCUGGGCUACUUCAGCUCCUUGGGAUGCGGCUGCUCCGCCUUGGCCUCCGCCUGGGGCGCGUGCCUCUCCGCGGGCUCCUGUGUGGGCACCGGGGUGCCCCCGCGCCGCUGAGGCUCUCUCUGGGGCUCCGGGGAUGGCGGCCCACGCUCAGAGUGCGGCUCCUCCUCAUAGUCCGCAGUGGGGGAGACCGGGGAGGUCCUGACGGCGUAGCUGUGGUAGCCCUUGUAGUGCUCGACGUCGGGCUCACGCGCCAUGCGCUGCAGCGGCCUGAUCUCCAUCUGCUCGGCCGGCCGUACUGCGCCCUGCGAGGCCGGACGGCCUUCGCCAUCGGAGGCCCCACCGCCACCCGCCCCAGCCCAGCUGCCGGGCCGCAGGGCUCCGUCCUGCUGAGGCUUGGCCCGCUUGGCCUCCGGAGGGGUGGCGGCGGGACUGGGGGCUGGGCUGCGUCGGCGGGGGGCCUCGUCCUGCUCGUGCAGCUGGGGGCUCUCGGGGGGUGUUGGGGGUGGCGGGGCACCUUUGGGCUGAGGGGGUGUCGCUUCCUCCAUGUUGACGGCGUGCUCUGCGUUCUCCAUGAUCUCCUGCAGCAGCCUCCGCUUCUGGUACUCGGGGCCUGGCUGGUAGAAGUCUGGGGAGAGCUCCCUGGCCAUCAUCCUGGCUAUGCCCGACUCGUUGUUAGCUGCCUGAGCUGCCUGCUCAGAGCCUUCAGCCUUGGCUUUGGCAUGAGUUGUCCUGGAUGCCGCGAUCUCCGACUUCUGCCUGGCGAUGGCUGCUGCCCUCUGGGCCCCCUCCACGCUCCGAUCCACCUUCUGCCGGAUCUUGGCGCUCUUCAGAGGUAUGACGCGCUUCUUCAUGCCCUUGACGAGGACGUUGUGGCGGUAUUUGCCCUCCUCCUUCUUGCCGUCGGGCAGCGUGGUGCAGCCGUAGCCGUGCCGCAGGUUGUCCAGCCACUCACCCUCGUACUUCAGCCCGCUGGAGCGCUCGCUGACUCCGUAGCCCGAGCGCUUGUCGUUCUUCCACUCGCCCAUGUAGGUCUCGGUGGUGGUGGCGUCGAUGUCGGACUCAAAGGGGGGGUACUCCUCUCCCUCCGCCCCCUCGCCCAGGCUGGCUGUGGAGGUGGCAUCGCUGGCGGCCGAGCUGAUCCC